CCUACGGGCGGCAGCAGUGAGGAAUAUUGGUCAAUGGGCGAGAGCCUGAACCAGCCAAGUCGCGUGAGGGAGUACUGCCCUAUGGGUUGUAAACCUCUUUUGUCGGGGAGCAAAAGCCGGACGUGUCCGGCUGUGAGAGUACCCGAAGAAAAAGCAUCGGCUAACUCCGUGCCAGCAGCCGCGGUAAUAAGGAGGAUGCGAGCGGUAUCCGGAGUUAUUGGGGUUAAAGGGUGCGCAGGCGGAUUUUUAAGUCAAGGGUCAAAUCGUGGGGCUCAACCCCAUCCAGCCGUUGAAACUGGGGAUCUAGAGUGUGCGAGAGGUAUGCGGAAUGCGUGGUGUAGCGGUGAAAUGCAUAGAUAUCACGCAGAACCCCGAUUGCGAAGGCAGCAUACCGGUGCACAACUGACGCUCAGGCACGAAAGCGUGGGUAUCGAACAGGAUUAGAUACCCCUGUAGUC
rnacentral:rRNA from 1 species